rnacentral:rRNA from 1 species
AGUACGUGAAACUGCUUAGAGGUUAAGCCCGAUGAACCUGAAUAUCCAUUAUGGAAAAUUCAACAUUAAUAUUAUAAUAUUUAUUUAUAAAUAUUAUAAAAAUAGUGUGCAAUUUUUCCAUAUAAGGACAUUGUAAUCUGUUAAUGUAAUAAAUAUUUAUCAUAAGAUUCAAUAAAUAAAAGUUUAUUCAAAUUAGUUAUUUUCCGAUUUCUAACAUAGAAUAAAUUUAAUUGAAUUUGAUAAAUCAUUGACAGAUUUAUUUAUAUAUAGUGCUUAAAUUCUUAAUUGAAUUUUACAAUAAUUUAUAAAUGUAUUUUCAUUUAUUUAUUUAUUGUAUGCACUUAUAUGAUUAACAAUGCUAUAGAUUCAGGAUACCUUCGGGACCCGUCUUGAAACACGGACCAAGGAGUCUAACAUAUGUGCAAGUCAUUGGGUAUUUUUAAUAAAACCCAAAGGCAUAAUUAACUUAACUGUUUUUAAUAUGGGAUUAAUUUAUAUUUUAUUAUGAAAUAUUAAUUCAAUCCCGGGGCGUUCUAUAUAGUUAUGUAUAAUAAUAUUUAUAUUAUUUAUGCCUCUAACUAGAGCGUACCUUGAGCAUAUAUGCUGUGACCC